rnacentral:rRNA from 1 species
UACAGAGGUCUCAAGCGUUGUUCGGAUUCAUUGGGCGUAAAGGGUGCGUAGGCGGCGCGGUAAGUCGGGUGUGAAAUUCGGAGCUUAACUCCGAAACUGCAUUCGAUACUGCGGUGCUUGAGGACUGGAGAGGAGACUGGAAUUCAUGGUGUAGCAGUGAAAUGCGUAGAGAUCAUGAGGAAGACCAGUGGCGAAGGCGGGUCUCUGGACAGUUCCUGACACUGAGGCACGAAGGCCAGGGGAGCAAACGGG